GGCCUUUUCAGCUGGAGAGGGGGGUGUCCACGUGCAACUGGCCACAUGCAUUUUUGCAUCUUUCUGGGAAGAGUCACUAUUUCCUGGGAACCUCAAUGUGUCCAGUGGCUUCGCCAACCUAAGAACCGAAGGGCACUGAGAGCAGAAAAUUCCUCGGCUUGGUCAUUUAAUUAUGGACUGUUUUUAUACCUGCACAGCAUUCAGAAUUAAUAACAGAGCGAGACUAUGUGUGCUGAAAAGGGAAGAUAUCCAAGCUGAUACGAUUGCAGACUCACAACAUUCUCCAUUGCCUGAAGACCAUCUUGAGCAAGGCAUGCUUAAAUUAAAGGGAGAUGUGUUUUUCGCCAAUGGAAGUAUGAAAAAGCAAGAAUCUUGUGGAAAGGUCUUAGUUUGGUUCUCCCAGAAGACUAUCCUGAGUCAAGGCAUCAAUUUUACAAGUGCUUUGAGAAAUCACCCUAGAAGACAGCAUUUGGGGGAAGCGUGAAGCCAAUAACGGAGAAAACAAAGUAGUCAUCAUUGGUUAUUGGUUUAGAGAUUUGCCUUGAGAAUGACAGAAGACAUGAGAGUGGAUGGAUAAACCAAAUGGCACCUCAGGAAAUGUCUCCUGUAUCUCCCACUGCCCCAACCUCCAGCCAGUCAUCUUAACACACCAUCAUCACCACCACCACCUCUCAGCUUUCCCAUGUGCUCGCCAUCUUCCCGAUUCGGAGAAACUAAAAGACUACACCCCUUCUCAGCAGAAAGAAGUUAGAGUAGUCCUCGCCCUAUAUCCAUCAAGACUGAGCAAUGAACAACAAAAAGGGAGGAUUUGUAACUAUAGGCCCUCCAGGACCAGUUCAACUGACCCCAUCUUGUCAACAGAGUAAGUAAGAGUGGCUUUUUAGGAACGCUUUUAGACCCCUUGUCCAGUGCAGGGCAGUUGAGACCACCAACCCAUCAACUGGGCCUUGGCAAAUACUGAAUAAGUGACCGUUUUGAUGUCAAGGAGCUAAAACCUCUACUCUCGCAUCAUGGAAAGGCCACAAUUUUGUGAACACGCAUCCUAAGAAGAAACAUGAAGCUUGACUACACUUGCACAGAUCAUCAAUUACCUCACUUAUCCUCACCUCCAAUCAUCUAUCUCCACACUUCAGACCACCCUACACUUUAUCCCAUAAAUUGUGCCCCAAGCCCUGGAUUGGGGAAGCAGAUCUGAAAGCACAUGCCCCUGUCUCCUUGCAGACCAAUGUCACAAAAUA